rnacentral:lncRNA from 1 species
AUGACUUUCUAGUUCGAUCUAUUGAUAAGUUAUUUAAAAAAUUAAAAACUGAACAACCUAGUUCAAGUGGUACAAUUGCCAUUAUUGAUCAAGUAGAAACUGAUAUUGAGGACAGUAGUCAUUCAGAUGAAUCUGAUGAUGCUUCAAUGCCAAAUUUCAAUGAUCAGUUGAACAAAUUAACAGUUAAAAACACCAGUAUAAUCAGGAAUUGGUAUUCUAGACCUACUCCUCCGGAUUUACAGUUCGAAGAGAGAAAUCUAGAUAAACAAUUCUCAGUUUCAUCUAAUAAAAUUU